UAAGAUAAGGUAAGAUAAGGUAAGGUAAGGUAAGAUAAGGUAAGAUAAGAUAAGAUAAGAUAAGAUAAGAUAGAUAAGCUAAGACUUUACUGAUCCACUUUGGGGUAAUUUGACAGUUGACAGCAACAACAUCCAACACACCAGUGCACA